rnacentral:rRNA from 1 species
ACGCUCGACACCUACUGGAGGCAGCAGUUGGGAAUAUUGGACAAUGGAGGAAACUCUGAUCCAGUGACGCCGCGUGAAGGAAGAAGGUCUUCGGAUUGUAAACUUAUUUUGUCAGGGAAGAAAAAUGACUGUACCUGAAGAAAAAGCACCGGCUAACUACGUGCCGGCAGCCGCGGUAAUCUGAGCGGGCUGGCAAGGC